GAAAUGCGAUAAGUAGUGUGAAUUGCAGAAUUCAGUGAAUCAUCGAAUCUUUGAACGCACAUUGCGCCCUAUGGUAUUCCGUAGGGCAUGCCUGUUCGAGCGUCAUUUACACCAUCAAGCCUUGCUUGGUGUUGGGUGACUGUGGCCCCUUUGGGGCCACUCGCCUUAAAGUCAUUGGCGGCCGGUUCGUUGGCUUUGUAGCGCAGCACAAUUGCGUCCUCGAAGCCGCUGGACCAGCUCCCAGAAGCUAAUUUUAAAUGUUUGACCUCGAAUCAGGUAGGGAUACCCGCUGAACUUAAGC
rnacentral:misc_RNA from 1 species